rnacentral:rRNA from 1 species
UACGUGGGGGGCUAGCGUUAUCCGGAAUUACUGGGCGUAAAGGGUGCGUAGGUGGUUUCUUAAGUCAGAGGUGAAAGGCUACGGCUCAACCGUAGUAAGCCUUUGAAACUGGGGAACUUGAGUGCAGGAGAGGAGAGUGGAAUUCCUAGUGUAGCGGUGAAAUGCGUAGAUAUUAGGAGGAACACCAGUUGCGAAGGCGGCUCUCUGGACUGUAACUGACACUGAGGCACGAAAGCGUGGGGAGCAAACAGG